UUGAGGAGGACAAAAGUUUAUUAAGAGUGUAAUAUGUGCCAGGCAUUCCAUAUUUAUCUCAUUUACUUUUCAAAAAAUCCCUAUGAGAGAGAUACAUUUUUUAAUAAAUAAAGAAGCUGGCUGGACUCAGAGAAGUUGUCACAAAAAGUCACAUGGCUGGUAAGGUAUAAUCAAGACUCGAACCCAAGCCCCUGUGAUUCUAGAAUCUUCUGACAGCAAUAGAGAGCAGAGGCUGGGCUUUCCUAGCUGGACACCAUCCAGGAUGGCCCCUUUACACUGUAUAGGCGUGGGGGGCAGAGGAAAAACCAUCUCAUUGAGUCUCACUAACGCAGGGUUGGCAGCAGCAGUGAGAAAGUUUGGCCUUAGAAGAAUCAGAGUGAGGAGAGUAGAAGAUGAAACAGCGUGUAGUGUGACACAGCAGGCUCCAAGGCUUUCAGGCCUGUCUUAAAAAAACUCAUGGACGUGGUUUGUUUCUCUGUUUUUAAUGUUACAAUCACAAUAAAGUGCUUUGAGGAAGGAAAUCGAACAAGAAUCUUGUGAAAUUCUGCAAACCCAAACUAAAAUGCAGAGUGUAAAAAUGUCACAGGGAAAGAAAAGAACCAGACGGUGGGAAAUCGAUAGAAUCUUAGCUGUCAUUCAUUUGAUAGUUUGGCUCGGGGAGACCUAGAGAAGGGCCCCAGGUUCCAGGUCCACUCUGCCAGAAGCAGCAGAUGGAACGGAACUUGUUAGCCACUGCCAACUCCCCCCGGGUCCCUGAGCCCAGGAUAUGCAGAGAAGGGUGAAGGCGCGGCACUCUUGCAGGGUCUGCCCAGUGCUUGGAUUUGCUCCUCAUUCUCUCAGGAGGACCAGGGGCUUCUGGAAAUCAGUGGUCCCUGGUGGCUUGGAAGCUCCCUCAGGGAUCAGCUCAUGGCCUCCUGGUCAAGCUUCCUCUCCCUGUGAUUCUUGGCUGUCUUCCAUCUGCACCCAUUUCUGAGCAAGUUGGGUCCAUGCUACAGGAUAUUCCCACUUGUCCAGCAUUGGAAUAGCUGGAAUGCUAAGGAAAAGAGUAUAAUACCAGAUUAUGAAAGUUCUGCAGUCCAUUUUGUGGUU
rnacentral:lncRNA from 10 species